GAAGAACUCAAUAAUCUAAAAGUGAGACUUUUAACUUCCCUGAAGACAUACAAAAUGAUGUGGCUCCUAAUAUAAUAUGUGUUCUUCAAGACAUGCUGGUGGCACUGACCUGCGGUGACCUUUGAACUGUGGUUUUCUGGUACAGAAACAGCUCCCUCAGCCUCCUGGCCUUUCUGACCACCCACACUUGGCUUUGAGAGUGAAGAAAAAAAUAUAUGACAG